rnacentral:misc_RNA from 1 species
GAUGAAGAACGCAGCGAAAUGCGAUAAGUAGUGUGAAUUGCAGAAUUCAGUGAAUCAUCGAAUCUUUGAACGCACAUUGCGCCCCUUGGUAUCCCGAGGGGCAUGCCUGUUCGAGCGUCAUUUCACCACUCAAGCCUGGCUUGGUGUUGGGCGACGUCCUCUUUGGGGACGCGCCUCGAAACGCUCGGCGGCGUGGCACCGGCUUUAAGCGUAGCAGAAUCUUUCGCUUUGGAAGUCGGGGCCCCGUCUGCCGGAAGACCUGCUCGCAAGGUUGACCUCGGAUCAGGCAGGGAUACCCGCUGAACUUAAGCAUAUCAAUAAGGGGAGGA